GACGAACGCUGGCGGCGUGCUUAACACAUGCAAGUCGAACGGAAAGGCCCUGCUUGCAGGGUACUCGAGUGGCGAACGGGUGAGUAACACGUGGGUGAUCUGCCCUGCACUUCGGGAUAAGCCUGGGAAACUGGGUCUAAUACCGGAUAGGAGCCAUUUUUAGUGUGAUGGUUGGAAAGUUUUUUCGGUGUAGGAUGAGCUCGCGGCCUAUCAGCCUGUUGGUGGGGUAAUGGCCUACCAAGGCGGCGACGGGUAGCCGGCCUGAGAGGGUGGACGGCCACAUUGGGACUGAGAUGCGGCCCAGACUCCUACGGGAGGCAGCAGUGGGGAAUAUUGCACAAUGGGCGCAAGCCUGAUGCAGCGACGCCGCGUGGGGGAUGACGGCCUUCGGGUUGUAAACUCCUUUCGCUAGGGACGAAGCUUUUUGUGACGGUACCUAGAUAAGAAGCACCGGCUAACUACGUG
rnacentral:rRNA from 1 species